rnacentral:rRNA from 1 species
UGCGGUUAAAAAGCUCGUAGUUGGAUCUCGGCAAGUAGAGGGCGGUAUGCUUCGUAGCAUUACUGCCCUAUUACUUGUAGUUUUGCCAGAGGUUCCUGGGUGCUCUUAAUCGAGUGCCUAGGGAUGCUGGCAGGUUUACUUUGAAAAAAUUAGAGUGCUCAAAGCAGGCUAUUACGCUUGAAUAUUCGUGCAUGGAAUAAUAGAAUAGGAAGUUGUUUCUAUUUUGUUGGUUUUCGGAAAUCGACUUAAUGAUUAAUAGGGACAGUCGGGGGCAUUUGUAUUCAAACGACAGAGGUGAAAUUCUUGGACCGUUUGAAGACAAACUACUGCGAAAGCAUUUGCCAAGAAUGUUUUCAUUAAUCAAGAACGAAAGUUAGAGGUUCGAAGGCGAUUAGAUACCGCCCUAGUUCUAACCAUAAACGAUGCCAGCUAGCGAUCUGAGGACGUUUUUUUUGUAGACUCCUCAGGAAGCUUCCGGGAAACCAAAGCGUGUGGGUUCCGGGGGAAGUAUGGUUGCAAAGCUGAAACUUAAAGGAAUUGACGGAAGGGCACCACCAGGAGUGGAGCCUGCGGCUUAAUUUGACUCAACACGGGAAAUCUCACCAGGCCCGGACCCUGGAAGGAUUGACAGAUUGAGAGCUCUUUCUCG